GGAGGGGUGCCGGAGUGGCCAAUCGGAGCAGACUGUAAAUCUGCCGGCGGAAGCCUGCGUAGGUUCGAAUCCUACCCCCUCCACCA
rnacentral:tRNA from 1 species